rnacentral:hammerhead_ribozyme from 1 species
AUCCAGCUGACGAGUCCCAAAUAGGACAAAACUCGUAUCCUGAAU